AAACUUUUUAAAUUUGGAUUCAUCAGGACUUAGUGCUGCGGAAAGGCAUAUGUAUCCAAAAAAUGUACAUAAGCCUAAGGUACUUUGGAAAGAUAUUCUAACAGGACAAUGGAAAGGUCCUGACCCAGUGAUUGUCUGGAGUCGGGGUUUUGUUUGUGUGUUUCCACAGGGAGAACAGCAGCCGAUUUGGAUUCCAGAGAGAUUAACUAAAACAGUUUCUACAGAUCGAAAAGAAGAUGAUUUGACUCAAAUCCAUAACAGCUGAUAUCCAGAACUCCAGCUUGGCACUCAACAAGUAAUGCUCAAUCAAGGUGUCAACUUACUUUGGGAGGAGACAGAUUUUUGGNNNNNNN
rnacentral:lncRNA from 1 species